AUCAGAAAAAAAAUCAUCAAAUCCUCCUUCCACGAGCGCCCGCCCUGGCCGCUACCCUCUCCUUAAUCGCGCCGCCAGCCGCCACGGACGCACCCUCUCCUUCAUCGCAGCCACCAGCCGCCGCCGCCCUCCCGCUGUCGCAACCGCUGGCCGCCCUCUCUUCUCCAUCACAGACGCCAGCCGCCGCGGCCGGCCCUCUCCUCCAUCGCAGACGUGAGCCACCGCCCCCUCCCUCCGCUGCAGCCGCCAGACUUCGCCGCCACCCUUCCCUCCGUCGCAGCCGCCAGCCACCGCCGCCCCCUCCCUCCGUCACAGCCGCCGCCACCCCCCUCCCUCAAGGAUCAGGAUAAGGAUCAAAUGAUCAUGUCUCCACUAAAUUACUAUGUUGCUGAAUUGAACCAUUAUUCCUUGACCUUCCGAUUUUAAGAUUUACUGAUGUGCAGUUAUUGACCAGCGAUUCCCACAAUGUGGCAUUCUAGAUGUGUUGUACAUCUCUGUUUGAUCUUUGUGGAUUUUCAUUAAGAACAACUUGACAUUUGUAACUUAUUCUAGUGGUGGCUCUCCAAGUGUGAGACCUGUUUAGCAUUCUAGCUUUGAGUUACAUUGUUUCCUAAUGCAUGAUUUUUUUUGCCUCUAAUAGCUAUGUAAUGCCAGAGCUUUUUGAAGGAGUGGUAGCAUAUUAUAAUGGUCAUAAUGGUGGCUCGUGUUUCUUUCAGUUCGGCACAAUUUAAAUUCAUGCAGCUGCAAGUACCAGACGAAGGUAUAACAAUGUUAAUAGGCUACAAUGAACAACAAUGGAGAAGCUGGGAACCAUGAUGAAGUGAUGAUCGAUGAAGCAGAUGUGAAUGACGAAGAAGCAAGUGCAAGCCAUGGUCAAGCUCCAGUCCGGGACGUGGUGAUGGAAAUUGAGCUCGCCAACGAGUUGACGGGGGAAUGGGGGAUGCCCUGGAUGACUUUGACAUUGAUGUUGGCAGGGAAUAGCAAGUACUUGAGCUCGCUGGAGUCUGCUCCUAGCGCAUGGUGUGCAAAGAUGUACAUCUUAAAAGCUUGAGGUAGAAGAACAUAGCUAGCAUAGCCUCAAACUGAGAGUUUGUUGCUUGAUAGAGUUCGAUCUGUGCAUAUGAAUAUUGAUGCUACCUUUGUGAGUGACACCUGGAAAGUCAUUACCGUCGUGCUGGAAGGAAUCCAUCUCAGCUCUUUAUUUUGAGUA